rnacentral:rRNA from 1 species
UUUAUGGAGAGUUUGAUCCUGGCUCAGGAUGAACGCUGGCGGCGUGCCUAAUACAUGCAAGUCGAGCGAACGGACGAGAAGCUUGCUUCUCUGAUGUUAGCGGCGGACGGGUGAGUAACACGUGGAUAACCUACCUAUAAGACUGGGAUAACUUCGGGAAACCGGAGCUAAUACCGGAUAAUAUUUUGAACCGCAUGGUUCAAAAGUGAAAGACGGUCUUGCUGUCACUUAUAGAUGGAUCCGCGCUGCAUUAGCUAGUUGGUAAGGUAACGGCUUACCAAGGCAACGAUGCAUAGCCGACCUGAGAGGGUGAUCGGCCACACUGGAACUGAGACACGGUCCAGACUCCUACGGGAGGCAGCAGUAGGGAAUCUUCCGCAAUGGGCGAAAGCCUGACGGAGCAACGCCGCGUGAGUGAUGAAGGUCUUCGGAUCGUAAAACUCUGUUAUUAGGGAAGAACAUAUGUGUAAGUAACUGUGCACAUCUUGACGGUACCUAAUCAGAAAGCCACGGCUAACUACGUGCCAGCAGCCGCGGUAAUACGUAGGUGGCAAGCGUUAUCCGGAAUUAUUGGGCGUAAAGCGCGCGUAGGCGGUUUUUUAAGUCUGAUGUGAAAGCCCACGGCUCAACCGUGGAGGGUCAUUGGAAACUGGAAAACUUGAGUGCAGAAGAGGAAAGUGGAAUUCCAUGUGUAGCGGUGAAAUGCGCAGAGAUAUGGAGGAACACCAGUGGCGAAGGCGACUUUCUGGUCUGUAACUGACGCUGAUGUGCGAAAGCG